rnacentral:rRNA from 1 species
AUACGGAGGAUCCGAGCGUUAUCCGGAUUUAUUGGGUUUAAAGGGUGCGCAGGCGGGAGAUUAAGUCGGCGGUGAAAUUUUGCAGCUCAACUGUAAAAGUGCCUUCGAAACUGGUUUCCUUGAGUGUAGAUGAAGUAGGCGGGAUUUGUGGUGUAGCGGGGAAAUGCAUAGAUAUCACGAGGAACUCCGAUUGCGCAGGCAGCUUACUAAACUACUACUGACGCUCAGGCACGAAGGCGUGGGGAUCAAACAGGAUUAGAUACCCUGGUAGUCCACGCAGUAAACGAUGAUUACUAGCUGUUUGCGAUACAAUGUAAGCGGCUGAGCGAAAGCGUUAAGUAAUCCACCUGAGGAGUACGUUCGCAAGAAUGAAACUUAAAGGAAUUGACGGGG